rnacentral:tRNA from 1 species
UCAGGAAGUAGUUUAGCUUGAAAAUGCCAGCUUUGGGAGUUGGUGAUAAAGGUUUAAGUCCUUUCUUCUUGAG